rnacentral:tRNA from 1 species
GAGGGUACAGCUCAGUGGUAGAGCACAUACUUAGCAUGCACAAGGUCCUGGGUUCAAUCCCCAGUACCACCA